GACGAACGCUGGCGGCGUGCUUAACACAUGCAAGUCGAACGGAAAGGCCCUGUUUUUGUUGGCGGCUAGAGUGGCGAACGGGUGAGUAAUAUGGGAGUAACCUGCCUUUGACGUUGGGAUAACUUCAGGGAACUGGGGCUAAUACCGGAUAGGAGCUGCUGCUGCCUGGUGGGGGUUGGACAGUUUAGGCGGUUGGGGACGGACAUGCGGCUUAUCAGCUUGUUGGUUGAGUAGUGGCUAACCAAGGCUUUGAAGGGUGGCCCGCCGGGGAGGUGGACCGGCCACAUUGGGCCUGAGAUACGGCCCAGACUCCUACGGGGGGCAGCAGUGGGGAAUAUUGCACAAUGGGCGGAAGCCUGAUGCAGCGACGCCGCGUGCGGGAUGACGGCCUUCGAGUUGUAAACCGUUUUCGCCUGUGACGAAGCGUAAGUGACGGUAAUUGGUAAAGAAGCACCGGCUAACUACGUG
rnacentral:rRNA from 1 species